AAUACUGGGCGUAAAGAGCUCGUAGGGUGGUUUGUCGCGUCGUCUGUGAAAUCCGGGGCUUAACUCCGGGCGUGCAGGCGAUACGGGCAUAACUUGAGUACUGUAGGGGAGACUGGAAUUCCUGGUGUAGCGGUGAAAUGCGCAGAUAUCAGGAGGAACACCGGUGGCGAAGGCGGGUCUCUGGGCAGUAACUGACGCUGAGGAGCGAAAGCAUGGGUAGCGAACAGGAUUAGAUACCCUGGUAGUCCAUGCCGUAAACGGUGGGCGCUAGGUGUAGGGGUCUUCCACGACUUCUGUGCCGUAGCUAACGCAUUAAGCGCCCCGCCUGGGGAGUACGGCCGCAAGGCUAAAACUCAAAGGAAUUGACGGGGGCCCGCACAAGCGGCGGAGCAUGUGGAUUAAUUCGAUGCAACGCGAAGAACCUUACCUGGGCUUGACAUAUACGGGACCGGGCCAGAGAUGGUCCUUCCCUUGUGGCUCGUAUACAGGUGGUGCAUGGUUGUCGUCAGCUCGUGUCGUGAGAUGUUGGGUUAAGUCCCGCAACGAGCGCAACCCUUGUCUUAUGUUGCCAGCACGUAAUGGUGGGGACUCGUGAGAAACUGCCGGGGUCAACUCGGAGGAAGGUGGGGAUGACGUCAAAUCAUCAUGCCCCUUAUGUCCAGGGCUUCACACAUGCUACAAUGGUCGGUACAGUGGGUUGCGAUGCCGUGAGGUGGAGCUAAUCCCUGAAAGCCGGUCUCAGUUCGGAUCGGGGUCUGCAACUCGACCCCGUGAAGUCGGAGUCGCUAGUAAUCGCAGAUCAGCAACGCUGCGGUGAAUACGUUCCCGGGCCUUGCACACACCGCCCGU
rnacentral:rRNA from 1 species